UACAGAGGGGGCAAGCGUUGUUCGGAAUUACUGGGCGUAAAGGGCGCGUAGGCGGCCGCCUAAGUCAGACGUGAAAUCCCUCGGCUCAACCGGGGAACUGCGUCUGAUACUGGGUGGCUUGAAUCCGGGAGAGGGAUGCGGAAUUCCAGGUGUAGCGGUGAAAUACAUAGAGAUGUCAUAGAACACCGAUUGCGAAGGCAGCUAACGAAACUGUAACUGACGCUGAGGCUCGAAAGUGCGGGGAUCAAACAGG
rnacentral:rRNA from 1 species